CCUACGGGAGGCAGCAGUGAGGAAUAUUGGUCAAUGGGCGAGAGCCUGAACCAGCCAAGUCGCGUGAGGGAGUACUGCCCUAUGGGUUGUAAACCUCUUUUGUCGGGGAGCAAAAGCCGGACGUGUCCGGCUGUGAGAGUACCCGAAGAAAAAGCAUCGGCUAACUCCGUGCCAGCAGCCGCGGUAAUACGGAGGAUGCGAGCGUUAUCCGGAUUUAUGGGGUGUAAAGGGUGCGCAGGCGGAUUUUUAAGUCAGUGGUCAAAUCGUGGGGCUCAACCCCAUCCAGCCGUUGAAACUGGGGAUCUAGAGUGUGCGAGAGGUAUGCGGAAUGCGUGGUGUAGCGGUGAAAUGCAUAGAUAUCACGCAGAACCCCGAUUGCGAAGGCAGCAUACCGGUGCACAACUGACGCUCAGGCACGAAAGCGUGGGUAUCGAACAGGAUUAGAUACCCCAGUAGUC
rnacentral:rRNA from 1 species